rnacentral:lncRNA from 1 species
AGCCCUGAGGAAUUCCGGGAGUGGAGCCGACUUGGAAACUCAAGGCCAAUCUCAGGUUGAGACAUGGGAGCUCAGGAGGGGGAAUUGCACUGAAGAUUUGUCCCAUCGUGAAGCAAGAGCACUGGAACUUACACUCCACCAUCAGGCCCUGUCACAGGAGAACAAAGAAGGAAGGCAGAGGAGAUCAUGCUCCGGCCAGCAGGGAAUCUCCAUUUUUUUCAGCCUCAUACCUUGGAAAGUACAAAGGAGUGAGAGCUGGGACUACCAGCCAGAGGGUUCAUGGAGGUAGUGGGAGGGGAAGAUGGGUUCUGCAUGGAGCCACUCCAGGGACUUUUCUUCUGUCUCACAGCCUGACAAUCACCUCUAGCUGUUCUCAGUCCCAUUCUCAUCAAUGACCUCGUCUCCUGAUUUUGUACAAUAUCUAGGUGACCUUCUCUUCUUUCCAUCUUCAAACGCUUGAUCAUUGAUGCUCCCUUUUCUCUUCUCUCUCCUCCUGGGAAAAGAGAAGGACCAACAUCCCCCUUUCCCUUCCUCCUGUGCUGUCCCGACCCCUCUGAGACCUGGCUCUAGCAGUAAGUCCCUCUCUCUUCUGCAGCACCAGCCUCUGCCCAUCCCUGCCCUCUGCACACAAAGCUCUCACAUUGUCUGCACUUUAAGAACUUUUGUGGCAAACCCUGGCAAAUCCUGCCACUUGUUUCCACUCUUCUCAAAUGGCUUUGAGGUCAUCAUUGACCUAUCCCAUUUGACCCUGUCCUGUAUCUGAUGUUGUACCCUUUCUCCUUGAUCCCACUCUGGCAACUCUCCCACUCCCCUUUCUUGGAUCAACUGUCUUGCUCCUCAGUCUUGAUCAAUGCCUCCUUCUCUCUCUUUAGCCUUGGCCCUUUUUGGCCAGGGAAAUAAAUGUGAAAUACAUAAAGCUUCAUUUUAUCUUAUGAUUAUAGCUAUGUUGAUGUUACCCAAGACCUAAAAGUCACACUCUCUAAUUACACUUCCCUCCUGUGUUCUGGGUCCUCUUGGACCAGUCCUUACUCUGGCUCCCCUCCUGGAUGUCUCCCAGACUUCUAAUUAGAAUUACUGUUUCCUAUAUCAAGCUAAUUAUCUUUCCCACCAACCUCCUCCAUCCUUGGGUGAAAGCAUCACUUGGUUGCAAAAGUCAGAAAUCUGGGUUUCAUUCUUGCGGUAGGUAGAAUAAUGCCCCCAGGCCCCAGGUUUUGACAUCCGAAUCCCUGGGACUUUGCAGAUGUGAUUCAGUUUAGGAUUUUGAGAUGGGGAGAUUAUCUGGGAGAGCCUGAUGUCAUCAUAAGGUUCUUAUAAGAGGGAGGCAGGAGGGUUAGAGUGAGUAGUAAGAGAUGCAACAGUGGAAGCAAGAGGUUGGGGUGAUGUGGCCACAAGCCCAGGAGUGCUGACAGACAUCAGAAGCUGGAAGGGACAAGGAAUGGUUUCUCCUCUGGAGCCUCCAGAAAGAACCAGCCCUGCUGACACCUUGAUUUUAGCCUUGGAAGACUCAUUUUGGACUUCUGACCUUGAACGUUGUAAGAGAAUAAAUUUACAUAUUUUAAACUGGUAUGUUUAUGGUAAUUUUUUAACAGAAGCCGUAGGAAAGGAAUCCGAUCCUGAUGCUGUUUCUCCAUCACUAGCUGCACUCAUUUGGCCCCUAGUCCAAUCAAUUUUAUCUCCAAAAUACCUUUCAGGUUAGCUCCUCCUUUCUGCCUCAAGCCUAUGUAAUCAUUAUUUCUCCUAAGAGGUCCUGCAAUGAUCUUUUAACUGAUCACCCUAUUAUUCCGUGCCAUCCCUGUCACUGUGUCAAGAGUUAGGAUCUGAUCUGCAUUUCAUGAAAAUGAUAGUCCUCUCUCCACAACUUUGCAGGCUAAAGCAGGGAGUUUAAUUACUCAGGCUAUGGGGGGCCCUGGAAUGUGCUCUAUGACCAGUCACUAGCCUCUCUCUCCUGCCCAGAUCCCUACCUCACACCCUACCAUUUAGGCAAUGGGGGUAAUGGCAGUGGGCACUUUGUCCAUGUGGUUUCAUCACCCUGACAUACUCUCCUGUGACUUCUACCAACCCUUCAAGAGUCUGCACCUUCUUUGGGCCUCAGCUUUCUCAUCUGUACCAUCAAGGGGCUUAUCCAGAUGAGCUCAAAGCUCUAUGGAACUCCUCAGCCUGAAUAAUUGAACAGAGUAGAUUUCAUUCACC